rnacentral:rRNA from 1 species
CCUACGGGUGGCAGCAGUGAGGAAUAUUGGUCAAUGGGCGAGAGCCUGAACCAGCCAAGUCGCGUGAGGGAGUACUGCCCUAUGGGUUGUAAACCUCUUUUGUCGGGGAGCAAAAGCCGGACGUGUCCGGCUGUGAGAGUACCCGAAGGAAAAGCAUCGGCUAACUCCGUGCCAGCAGCCGCGGUAAUACGGAGGAUGCGAGCGUUAUCCGGAUUUAUUGGGUUUAAAGGGUGCGCAGGCGGAUUUUUAAGUCAGCGGUCAAAUCGUGGGGUUCAACCCCAUCCAGCCGUUGAAACUGGGGGUCUAGAGUGGGCGAGAGGUAUGCGGAAUGCGUGGUGUAGCGGUGAAAUGCAUAGAUAUCACGCAGAACCCCGAUUGCGAAGGCAGCAUACCGGUGCACAACUGACGCUCAGGCACGAAAGCGUGGGUAUCGAACAGGAUUAGAUACCCGGGUAGUC